AGAACAUCUUAAAGAAUAGAGCCUAUAUGUGUGUUAGGGUAAUAAUUAAUCAAAGACCAGACCAAUUUUGAAUGGCUAGUGUUUUCACAAGUAUAUUAUAUGUACCAAAAGUAUUAAGGAAUCAUAAAGUAUUGUUCCAGUCUCGGGCAAUGUCAACAGUAAUGUUAAACACCAGACUAAGGGGGUCAAAGGCUAUUAUGUAUUUUUUAGAUAUUUUUAGGUCACGAUGUUUGAGGCAAUAGUGCCAUCUACAGGUAGUGUAGGACAUCACGCCCAGGGGUCAAUGAUUGACAUUUUACAAAAUAUUUAGAUUAGAUGGUGAUAGUUUAACUUUUGGAGACUACCCUUCAAUUCCAGUUGGUUAGUUGAUUAAUCCCAGGGGUUGAGUUUUAGACAGAAAGGAGGGAUAAAUUAGGAUACACUGGGAUACUAAAAAGAAAGAAAAAAAAGAACUAAAAAGAAAUUAAAGAGGGAAAAGACUAAGAACAGGAGAGGAACUAAGAACUGGAAAAGAGGACUGGAAAGAGAAAAACAGACUUUUAAACUAUAAGCCAAAUUAAAGAAAAGGAUCAGAUGUCUUAAAGCUCCAAGAAGAGGUCAGGGUGACAUCACAGGCCAGUGAGAACUUACAACCGAGUGUUGUGAGUGGAGAGACUAGCAGAGAGCACUAGGAUCCUGCAGACACCAGGAGGAAAGUCACAUGGGAGGAAGGGAAGCAAGCUACAUAUCUGUGUUUGAUGCAGAGUGAUCCUGCUGGUAACUUAUACAAUGUGGAUUUUCUCCAGACUCAAAAAGAGACUCCAACAUAUUGGAUAUCUCGCACACAUUAGUGACAAAGAGAACUGUGGGAACUUUUAACAUCUAACAAGUAACUUUUAUAUAUGUAUGAAGCAUUGAAAUGGUUUAAAAGGAGCGGUAUUUAACGCUCUCUUUUAGCUAUUCUUUUACGGAGGUAUAUUGGUACAAUAUAUAUUUUGAGAGUAUAAGCGAACCUGUUGUCUAUAAAAGAGGGGAACGCACUCACUUCUUAGAAAAUGUUAACUUUAAAUAAACCCAAUAGGCUGGGUCUGCUUCUAAUAAGGAUUAAUUAUAUCUUAUUUUUGGAUCAAGU